rfam:Otolemur garnettii contig143388, whole genome shotgun sequence.
GCGCCUAUGGCUCAAAGGAGUAGGGCGCCGGCCUCAUAUGCCGGAGGUAGUGGGUUCAAACCCAGCUUUGGUCA